rnacentral:rRNA from 1 species
UACGUAGGGGGCAAGCGUUGUCCGGAAUCAUUGGGCGUAAAGCGCGCGUAGGCGGCCCGGUAAGUCCGUUGUAAAAGUCAAAGGCUCAACCUUUGAAAGCCGAUGGAUACUGCCGGGCUAGAAUCCGGAAGAGGCGAGUGGAAUUCCUGGUGUAGCGGUGGAAUGCGCAGAUAUCAGGAGGAACACCAAUUGCGAAGGCAGCUCGCUGGGACGUCACUGACGCUGAGACGCGAAAGCGUGGGGAGCAAACAGG